GAUGAACGCUGGCGGCGUGCCUAAUACAUGCAAGUCGAGCGAACGGACGAGAAGCUUGCUUCUCUGAUGUUAGCGGCGGACGGGUGAGUAACACGUGGAUAACCUACCCAUAAGACUGGGAUAACUUCGGGAAACCGGAGCUAAUACCGGAUAAUAUUUUGAACCGCAUGGUUCAAAAGUGAAAGACGGUCUUGCUGUCACUUAUAGAUGGAUCCGCGCUGCAUUAGCUAGUUGGUAAGGUAACGGCUUACCAAGGCAACGAUGCAUAGCCGACCUGAGAGGGUGAUCGGCCACACUGGAACUGAGACACGGUCCAGACUCCUACGGGUGGCAGCAGUAGGGAAUCUUCCGCAAUGGGCGAAAGCCUGACGGAGCAACGCCGCGUGAGUGAUGAAGGUCUUCGGAUCGUAAAACUCUGUUAUUAGGGAAGAACAUAUGUGUAAGUAACUGUGCACAUCUUGACGGUACCUAAUCAGAAAGCCACGGCUAACUACGUG
rnacentral:rRNA from 1 species